rnacentral:lncRNA from 1 species
AGAUAUACAAUACAUGCACUGGAAACAAAACGCAUCAAAGACACCUGCUUCCGCUUGGAAAUGUGACAAACCACAUCCAGAGGAAAUAAAGGUUUUUCUGCAAUCAUUUUUGUUCUAGUCCUGUACUCCUUUACCUAAAAGAAAGAAAGAAAAAAUGCAACAAGGAGCAGUCGUCAUAUGGGACACCGGAAAUCAAACAGAUCAUGUGCUGGACCAGUACAAAGCUUUCAACUGAAUGUUCAGAAAGAAUAGAUUGAGGAGCAUGCAUGAACUGGCAGAACAGAUAUCUCCAUCUCAGGGGCCACUCUAUAUGCUUCUUAUCAUUAGGAUAUAAAUCAAGCAGGUACCCGAAUAAUCAAUUGGUUUUCGUCUAAAAUGAAUAAUGAAUUGCUAUCUCAUUGUGCAAUCAAAGAGAAAUGGACCCAAUUUACAGGUGGUCCUCUUAGUCAUCAGCCACUAACUGAAACAUGUCAGCAUGGCAGCAAACUGUGAUGUCUAAGCACCCUACACUGAUAUUACAAUCCCCAGCAAGUAGAGCAGAGAGAUGGCCCCAGAGGAAUCAAAUCAAGAUCACAAUCGCAUAUAUCUUGGCUUUACACUUGCAGUUAGCAUUGCAUGUUCUGAGCUCAUGGUUCUGUCCCUUGCCAACUUGUCAUAAUAGCUGCACCUGAACUAAACUGCAUGAUGCUACUCUUCUCUUCUCCCUCGUCUAUAAAUUCAUCUGCUUAGUAGUUAGCACCACCAUCUCAUCAUCAGUUCACCCACAAGCCAAGCACUACAACACCUAGCUGAAUAUACAACCUGACACAAAAGUUUCUCUGAACUUUCAGCCAAGAAAUUCAGAAGGAGAAGCAACCAUGGUUAGUGCGAAGAGGCUUGCUCAAAUGGCAAAGAAGUGGCAGAGAAUGGCAGCCAUGGGGAGGAAGAGGCUCAAGCGGACGACAUCGACAAGAGCAGCCGACGAGUGCUGCACGACGUCAUCGGUGGCGGUAAAGGGCCACUGCGUCGUGUACACCGCCGACAGGGGUCGGUUUGAGGUGCCGUUACAGUACCUCGGCACGGCCGUCUUUAGUGAGCUCCUGAGGAUGUCUCAGGAGGAAUUUGGUUUCGCAGGCGGCGAUGAUGGCCGGAUCACGCUGCCCUGCGACGCCGCUGUCAUGGAGUACGCCAUGUGCUUGCUCGGGAAAGAUGCCUCCGCGGAAGUCGUGAAGGCCUUCCUGAGCUCCGUCGCGACGCCCUGCUGGUUUGACGGCGGUGUGGUGGCGCCAUGCGUAGGGUUUAACCAGCAUGUAGCCGUUUGCUAGCUUCAGAAGAAUGGCAGCUGCUACUGCUAGGAUCCUUGUUGUAGCCACCGUUUUGGUUCGACGCAAAGUGUAAAUAUGAAGUACUAGUUGGUUAGAAAUGGAACAGUUUUUUAACCGUUGAGGUAUAAAUGAAGGAACCUUCUUUCUCUGUCAGCUUAGCCUUUAUUGGGUGAAUUGGUUCAACCUCAAGGAAAACCACAUGAUCUGGCACCUUCCGCUACAUCGACACGAAGUACCAUAAACGGGGAUGCUCGGCAUGUCAUGCUGCUUCUCAUCACGACCAAGCCACCAAUCACCAAUGGCGCCGUCUUGUCUCCGGAUAGGACUUGCUUAGAGAUUUUUUUUUCCUUAUUUUUAUGUAAUAAAGUGGCACAUUUGGUACUUUGUGACUGUGUGAGUCCCGUGCGCACAAGUGGGGGGUUGAUGCCCUGUUGGUUAACUCGGUUGUAUCGCUUGAUAUAUAAUGUUGAGAUCAAUCUAUAAUCUUCUAUUUUCGAAAAAAUAAAUGAAAUGAGCAGCUCUAUUGGACCAAAUUUCUCGGUUAGAACCUGAGAUGCAGCGUAUUUUGUUUGUGAACAUAAGGCUAACAAUUUUUAACGAUAUGCAAAUUGUUCUAACCGUUCUUGCAAAUUCAAGCCUUUUUUUUCAUAUGGUCAGAAGACCGUAUUCUACUACUGUCAUGAAGAUAACGGAACAAAGUACUGAACCCAAGUUUCAACCCCGCACGGAAGUUUUUCACAUACCUGCCGCAUAUCGCUAACAAGAACACAAGCCAACUACCAAAAUAUUGUACUUCCUCCGUCCAACAAAGAUGUCUCAAUUUUGACUAAAUUUGAAUGCAUCUAUACACUAAGUCAUGUCUAGAUACAUUCAAAUUUUGACAAACUUGAGACAUUUUUUGUUGGACGGAAGCAGUACAUGUAAUGGAACUGGAGAUGCCCGAUUAACAUAUGGCCCACAUGCUGAUUCAGAGGGGAACUUGCCAGUAUGUCAAUGCAUGCACCCUUGGAUGUGAAACCAAUGAAGUAAGCAAAGCACUGGAACCUAGCAACUACUAGAUCAGGCAAUUAGCCCCAUCAAAAACAUGGUCAGAGGUUUCUCAAAAAAAAAAAAACAUGGUCAGAGAAAGUUUAAGCAUUGCAUUUGCACCUGCUCAUGGAUUUGCCCCUUCCUUCCCAGCUUGCCGCACUGACAAGUGCAUGCACUUCACCCAGCCUUUCCCCCAUCUUGCUUUUCCAUCGCCUAUAAAUUAAGGCACUGAAACAGAUCAAUUGCACUAUGACCAUCACUACCAAAAAACCAAUCAUCACUUUCUAAUUAUGCCAAGCAGAUUUGUAUGUUUCCAAACUGAAAGAACUCAAUGCGAGAUUAAAGGACAUGCAUGUACCAAAAUAUGAUCUCUAAAUAUAUGCAGGUUCAGAACUAAAAGUGCUGCGGAAAGCUGGACAACUCAAUGCUGAACAUGUAUGUCCAGAAGGAAUUAAUACAUGUGGCCUAGCAUUCUUAGAGAGUUUUCCAUUCUUGAGUUAUUCUUAUGUUUGCAUAAAUAGAUAUUUCUAAGAAACCAUACUAUAACUGGAAACAUCGCAUUUCAAAUAUAAUACAUGCAUGUAUUGAAACCAAACAGUCAACAGAAAGCCCAUCAGAGACAUCUGUUUCAGCUUGGCAACGUGAUAAAACCACUUUCAGAUGAAACAAACGUCGCUUUGCAAUCACUUUGGUGCUUACUCCUGUACCCAAAAUAAAUAAAAUGCAAGGAGCAAGCCCAUGUGAUAUGCCGGAAAUCAAGCAGGUCUAGUUUCAUCUGAAAGUGUACAGAGAAUAGAUAUAUUAGGGGCAUGAACAAUGCAUAUCACAAUGUGAGGAAUCCAUCAGGAGAAGCAAAUAGGUAGCGUAACUGAUCAGUGCUCACCGAAAUUGUUCAGUCCCUGAACCUGGAUGCCAUCGCUGUCUCCUUGCAAUUGCCGAUAGCCAUGAUCUCGGCACGCCUCUUGUUCUCAACGCGUUCAGUAUGGCAGCCACACAUGAUAAGAA